ACCCGCUGGCUACGAGGAAAGCGGCGCUGGCAAGGGUGAGGAUCGCUGGCAUGGUGAUGUAGGCGUUUGAAAAACAUAAGCUGCCCUGCCAGUACUUCAUCAGCAGAUAGACUCCGCUCAAGCCCACCACCAACCCCAGCACCUGGUGAGGUAAAAAAAGAUCAAAAAUCAAAGUCUAAUCUUUUUUUGUUUUAUUUUUAUUCAGUAAAACUCAACACAGUAUGCAUUGUGUCUGUAUUCACUGCUGAUGUAAAACACUAGGCCCAACGUUAAUUUCCCAAGCAGUCACAAGAGUGUGUGUGUGUGUGUGUGCAUGUGUGCAUGUGUGCCCUGUGGUUUGUGUAGUGUCAGUAGCUUUAUCCAAAAACUAAAAUAGUCUGAAAACUCAAAUAGUCUGAAAACUCAAAUAGACACAACAGAAACCCAAUCAGAUGCCUGAUUAAGAAUUUCUUUAAGCAGAGAUAAUUAAAUAGGCUAAUUGUGUGUGUGUGUGUGUGUGUGUGUGUGUGUGUGUGUGUGUGUGUGUGUAUGUACCUAAAUCUCUUUACAAAGUCACAGUAUAUGGAUUUGUCUUCCUCGUGGGGAUAAAAGCAAGUUCCUGUUUUGUAAACCAUCAAAUUCUAAGAUAAAGACAUGUUUUAAAGGGGACAUAUUAUGAAAAUUCCACUUUUGUAGUGCUUCUACACAUUAGUUUGGGUAUCUGGCAUGUCUAACGUCCCAAAAACUCUGGAAAAAAAUCACUCCCGCGAUUUGUUGUGGUUCCUCUAUUUCAGAAACUAUGUGCUAAAGUGCGUCCAAUGGAAUUUCCCCCGAAAUAGACGUCAUAGUCGAAAAAUGCCCAUUUAGUACAUUCCCCCAUAGCUCUAUGCACUCCCCCACUACCACUCGACCCACCCCUAGAUGGACCCUCCCACUUUAUAGAAGCUCGGUCCACCGGUGUCCGCCAUUUCAUUCUUGCAAGCCUUGGAAACACUUGGAUAAGCUAACAGCAGCAUGAAUCAAUUUCGACAACCGAGAUGCUCAGUGGUCGGCUGCACAAAUCAGCACAAAUGUCUUCAUGUGACUCCAGCUUCCGAAGACACAAGAUUGAGAUGGAUUGAGUUCAUAUAUGAUGGCAACGUUCCUGCCACCACUUUGAAUCGGACUGUUUUAUCAACCUGGGCCAAUAUAACGUUGGAUUCUCUAAAAGGUUGUUAUUGAAAGAGGGGUCGGUGCCAUCUUUCCAUCGCAAUACUGAAGACGAGGGAAAUGCAAGCACAUCUGUUCACGGUGCUAGGCUACAUCACGUAGCAUGCCAGACGGACCCACCACAGAUGCGCACACAUGGAACGCAGCUUUCUAUGAAAACACUGCGACCUCACUACAAAAGUACAGGCACACAGAAAACUGUGCUGCACUGAUGUUGGUGUUGGGACCUCAGCUGUAAGAGACCUCGCUUGGAGGAGGGAGAGGACAACCCAAGUUGUUCAAGUAUGGACUUCGGAGAGCCACAGGAUGCUACCUAUGAUCCUGAUGACUCAAUCACAGUCUUGACUGAGUCAGCAGAUGUGACAUUACAUGGAUAACCUGUUGGACCUCAUCUUUCACGAGGUUUUUCAGGACCCGGCCCCAUUUGUGAAUGAGGUGCUGAAGAUCUCAAAACGUGAGGAUCUCUCUGCCAAGUAUGAGAAACCUGACAAGCAGGAAGUUAUAGCCAGCUAUGUGUCGAGUUUCAAUCAAGGGCAGGUCUGAACCCUGCAUAACUUCCCUGAGCAUCAGGGAACACUCAGCGUAUCUGGAGCACCGAGCAGGAGGGCAGGACCACCCUGAUUCUCCGGCCCAGAGGGCCUCAACACCAGCUCACAAAGCUUCUGUACGCCAAAUACCUGUAACGGCUGAGCAAAGUUUACAUUGUAUUUAGAGAAUAAAAGGUGACACACAAAUAUAAAGUGUUCCUUUGUUUACAGUAUGGCUACUGAUGGCACAAAUUUUAUUUUUGUAAUCAAUGUUUUCAUUAUACUUGGUAUGUUUAAAAAGCUCUGUGGCAAUCUUUCUGACAAUAAAAGUUUAUAGAAGCAGUUGUGUGCUUUUAAUGUUUGAUAUGUAACAUGUCAACAAUUGACACGUGUAAGAUGAGCAGUUAGCAAAGUAAUACACAGAGAAGAGUAAUUUAUGUAUUUUAUUCCUCAGUCAUAAUUUUAUUGCAGAAAUGACUGAUAUCUCAUGCAUAAAAAAAACAAAACUUACCGCUCUAUUCCUCUUGGACAUAAAGGCCCAUAAUCUGCCCUAUAGAUGUUGAAUGCAUUCUGUAGUGAGAACCCAUUCAAACACAUG